GUGCUUACUUUGGCAGCACAUCUACUAAAAUUAGAACGAUACAGAGAUUAGCAUGACCCCUGCUCAAGGAUGACAUGCAAAUUCGUGAAGCGUUCCAUAUUUUA